CCCUUAGAUGUUCUGGGCCGCACGCGCGCUACACUGAUGCAUUCAACGAGUCUAAAACCUGGUCUGAUAGGGCUGGGUAAUCUUUUGAAUGUGCAUCGUGAUUGGGAUAGAUGAUUGCAAUUCUUCAUCUUCAACGAGGAAUGCCUAGUAAACGCAAGUCAUCAGCUUGCAUUGAUUACGUCCCUGCCCUUUGUACACACCACCCGUCGCUCCUACCGAUUGAAUGUUCCGAUGAAUACCAUGGACUGAGAGUAUGAAUGGGUUCGCCUAUUUCUGCUUCUCGGGAAGUGGAGUAAAUCUUAACAUUUAGAGGAAGGAGAAGUCGUAACA
rnacentral:rRNA from 1 species